CCGCCGUGCCGUGCCUAGCUGUGCCGUGCCGUGCCCUGCCGUGCCCGGGGCGGCGACCAUCAGCGUCCCGGCGAGGGCGGCCCCAACGCAGCUGCCCCGGCAGCAGCACCCCGCGCCCAGCCGAGUGCCACAGCGCCGGCGCGGAGAAGCGGCGGCUGAGAGACGUGGCGAGCGACGCUGCAACAUCCAGGUUGCUUUCCUCGACGAGCACUCGACGACAACGAGCUGUUAGCCCGCGCCUUCCCUGACAGCAGGACCUAUAUCCUCUCGCGGAAGGUUACUACCUUCUGCAACAGCGGCACCCGAUGGCAGCGACGCUGGGACUUCUGAAGCGGCACUUUGUCAAGGAACGCCUGAUUGGCUAAAGGGACUCUGCAAUGGUUAGCUGGUCUGCCAUCUUAUGGAGCCUCAAUGGUACUGCCAAAUAACAGAGUAUGGAACGACGUGCCCAUAUUAGGAGAAUAUUUUGACUUUUCCCUUUUCAGGUGAGAAGGAUUCCGCAAGAUGACCUUAUUGCUUUGCUCUUGAAAAGUUUGAGAUGUGCUGCCAGAUGCAGAUACCAGAGAGUGUUUCAUACUGCAUAAUUCUGCAGCUGUAGGCAUAGUAGGGCAGGUCCAUCGUCAACUUGAUAACCGUACAGAGUGCUCAGGUAGAUGUCUCCAUGCAAGUUCCUGACACUCUACUCCCGAAGGAGUGACAGCCCAUUUUCUGAAGAGUCCGGCAUAGGUUUGUACACAGGACAGAAACAAAAUCAACUUCUGAACAAAAGCAUCAAGUAUUAGCUAACCCAAGGGCAUGUCCCUGAGGUUGUUCUUGGAUCUUCUCACCUCCAGGAAUCUCCUGGAGGUUUCUUUCUAAAACAUUGUUAAGAGUAGAUUGAGACCCAUUGAAUAAAAGAUGUAAAAUGGAUGCUGGCAAGUUUAAUUCCACACAUUUUAAAAGAAACCAAUCAUAAUUAUCAGAAUUCUCAAAAUGUUGGCUUACUGUAAGCACUGAAUCUUGUUCAAAUAUACUGGGACAAUGAUUGCAAAUCUUUGUAACUUAAAGCCAAACAUGCCUUAUAGUCUGUUUCUCAUACCUUUCUGUUUCCUCUGCUAGAUUAAAUGACUCCCAGGUCCAUGAACUGUGACUUGUCUUCUCAUUUCUCUCAAAUUCUUUUUCCGACUCUGUCUUCCAUUUUA